GACGAACGCUGGCGGCGUGCUUAACACAUGCAAGACGAACGAAGUGGCGAACGGGUGAGUAACGCGUAACCAACCUGCCCUUCAGAGGGGGACAACAGCUGGAAAAGACUGCUAAUACCGCAAACUGAAGGAGGGGAAUGCGUCUGAUUAGCUAGUUGGAGGGGUAACGGCCCACCAAGGCGAUGAUCAGUAGCCGGUCUGAGAGGAUGACCGGGCACAUUGUGACUGAGACACGGCCCAGAGUCCGACGGGAGGCAGCAGUGGGGAGUCUUCCGCAGUGGACGAAGGUCUGACGGAGCAACGCCGCGUGAGUGAUGACGGCCUGCCGGUUGUAAAUCUCUGUUUUUCGGGACGCAGUACCGGACUAGAGAGCCACGGCUAACUACGUGCCAGCAGCCGCGGUAAUUC
rnacentral:rRNA from 1 species